AACGAACGCUGGCGGCAGGCUUAACACAUGCAAGUCGAACGAGAUCUUCGGAUCUAGUGGCAGACGGGUGAGUAACACGUGGGAACCUUCCUAGGGGUACGGAACAACUCAGGGAAACUUGAGCUAAUACUGUAUACGUCCGUGAGGAGAAAGAUUUAUCGCCAUUAGACGGGCCCGCGUCGGAUUAGGUAGUUGGUGGGGUAACGGCCUACCAAGCCUACGAUCCGUAGCUGAUCUUAGAGGAUGAUCAGCCACACUGGGACUGAGACACGGCCCAGACUCCUACGGGAGGCAGCAGUGGGGAAUCUUGGACAAUGGGCGCAAGCCUGAUCCAGCCAUGCCGCGUGAGUGAAGAAGGCCUUAGGGUUGUAAAGCUCUUUUACAAGGACGAUAAUGACGGUACCUGGAGAAUAAGCCCCGGCAAACUUCGUGCCAGCAGCCGCGGUAAAAC
rnacentral:rRNA from 1 species